UACGGAGGGUGCAAGCGUUAUCCGGAUUCACUGGGUUUAAAGGGAGCGCAGGCGGAUUUGUAAGUCAGUGGUGAAAGGCUUAGGCUUAACUUGGGAACUGCCAUUGAUACUAUAAGUCUUGAAUGUUGUUGAGGUUUGCGGAAUGGGUCAUGUAGCGGUGAAAUGCAUAGAUAUGACCCGGAACACCUAUUGCGAAGGCAGCAGGCUAAACAAAUAUUGACGCUGAGGCUCGAAAGCGUGGGGAUCAAACAGG
rnacentral:rRNA from 1 species